rnacentral:rRNA from 1 species
GAUGAACGCUGGCGGCGUGCCUAAUACAUGCAAGUCGAGCGAAUGGAUUAAGAGCUUGCUCUUAUGAAGUUAGCGGCGGACGGGUGAGUAACACGUGGGUAACCUGCCCAUAAGACUGGGAUAACUCCGGGAAACCGGGGCUAAUACCGGAUAACAUUUUGAACCGCAUGGUUCGAAAUUGAAAGGCGGCUUCGGCUGUCACUUAUGGAUGGACCCGCGUCGCAUUAGCUAGUUGGUGAGGUAACGGCUCACCAAGGCAACGAUGCGUAGCCGACGUGGGAGGGUGAUCGGCCACAGUGGGACUGAGACACGGCCCAGACUCCUACGGGAGGAAGCAGUAGGGAAGCUUCCGCAAUGGACGAAAGUCUGACGGAGCAACGCCGCGUGAGUGAUGAAGGCUUUCGGGUCGUAAAACUCUGUUGUUAGGGAAGAAUAAGUGCUAGUUGAAUAAGCUGGCACCUUGACGGUACCUAACCAGAAAGCCACGGCUAACUACGUGCCAGCCGCCGCAGUAA